rnacentral:rRNA from 1 species
GAUGAACGCUAGCGGCAGGCUUAAUACAUGCAAGUUGAGGGGCAGCAUGAUAUACGCGAGUAUAUUGAUGGCGACCGGCGGACGGGUGAGUAAUAGGUAGGAGACCUACCUCAUACAGGGGGAUAGCAUAGAGAAAUCUGUGGUAAUACCCCAUGAGGUUAUAUGAAUAGAGGCAUAUAAUCAAAGCAUAAGCGAUUAUGCGGUAUGAGAGGGGCCUACUGACCAUUAGCUAGUUGGUGAGGUAAGGGCUCACCAAGGCGAAGAUGGUUAGGGGUUUUGAGAGAGAGACCCCCCACAUUGGAACUGAGAUACGGUCCAGACUCCUACGGGAGGCAGCAGUAGGGAAUAUUGGGCAAUGGGCGGAAGCCUGACCCAGCCAUGCCGCGUGAAGGAAGACGGCCUUAUGGGUUGUAAACUUCUUUACUAUGCGACUAACUAGAUUUACGAGAUAAUUCUAUAGAAUGUAGCAUAGCAAAAGCACCGG